rnacentral:lncRNA from 1 species
AUGAGCCUUAAUUUUUCUCUAGUGGUCUCCAUCAUAAUUAAAACAGAACGUGAUCUGCUUUUAUGCUUCCUUCUCAGCCUUUUGGACUGCUCAAAUGCUGGUUUCCCUAGGCUUCUUCACGAAUGUGCAAGAGGAGCAGGACCACCACCUCUCAGUCCCACAGCCACUCCAAGUAAGUCUUGCUCUUGCAGAUCACUUCUCUGGUGUUUUGGGAUGGGUACCAUGCUAAUGCCAGUGGACAAGUGGCAUGGGCUGAGGGCUCUUCACCUCUUUCACCCAUCCACACUGAAGAGGCAAGGGCAGAGGGACUUCAUCUUCUCUUUGAUCAGCG